rnacentral:rRNA from 1 species
UACAGAGGGUGCGGGCGUUAAUCGGAUUUACUGGGCGUAAAGGGUGCGUAGGUGGUUGUAUUAGUGUGAUGUGAAAGCCCUGGGCUUAACCUAGGAAGAGCAUUGCAAACGGUAUGACUAGAGUAUAAGAGAGGGUGGUGGAAUUUCCGGUGUAGCGGUGAAAUGCGUAGAGAUCGGAAGGAACGUCAAUGGCGAAGGCAGCCACCUGGCUUAAUACUGACACUGAAGCACGAAAGCGUGGGGAG